CCGACGGGGUGAGUAACACGUAUCCAACCUGCCGUCUACUCUUGGACAGCCUUCUGAAAGGAAGAUUAAUACAAGAUGGCAUCAUGAGUCCGCAUGUUCACAUGAUUAAAGGUAUUCCGGUAGACGAUGGGGAUGCGUUCCAUUAGAUAGUAGGCGGGGUAACGGCCCACCUAGUCUUCGAUGGAUAGGGGUUCUGAGAGGAAGGUCCCCCACAUUGGAACUGAGACACGGUCCAA
rnacentral:rRNA from 1 species